AAAGCUUCGUCGGUAGAGCAGGAGACUCUUGAUCUCUGGGUUGUGGGUUUGAGCCCCACCUGGGGUA